CCCACUAAGGUAGCUUGCUAU
rnacentral:siRNA from 1 species